GACUCUGAAGAAUGGCAUGGGAUGGAUCCUUUCGAAUGCACUUGAGCAGCGGUCUCCAACCACAGGGCCACAGAGCUGGAGCUGGAUCUACCAUGAACGACUUCUGAAUCCAGGAAGAGAGACUGACUGGGCAACAUGUUAUUCAGGGUCUCCCUCUGUUGUCCAAGGCUGGAGUGUAGUAGUGCUAUCACAGCUGACUGCAGCCUCAACCUUCCAGGCUGAAGCGAUCCUCCCAUCUCAACCUCCCACG
rnacentral:lncRNA from 1 species